UUUAUUGAGAGUUUGAUCCUGGCUCAGGAUGAAUGCUGGCGGCGUGGAUAAGGCAUGCAAGUCGAACGAAACUAGUUUGCGAUUACAUCAAGAAUUAGUUUAGUGGCGAACGAGUUAGUAUUACCUUGGUACAUACCCUCGAGUCGGGAAUAACUAGCCGAAAGGUUAGCUAAUACCCGAUGGUUCUCGUAAGAGUAAAGGAGAAAUCCGCUUGAGGAGUGGCCUCGGUCCUAUCAGCUAGUUGGCGGGGUAAUGGCCCACCAAGGCAACGACGGGUAGGGGACGUGAGAGCGUGACCCCCAACGAUGGAACUGAGAUACGGUCCAUACACCUACGGGUGGCUGCAGUCAAGAACAUUCGACAAUGGGCGAAAGCCUGAUCGAGCGACGCCGCGUGCAGGAUGAAGGCCUUCGGGUCGUAAACUGCUUUUAACUGGGAACAAGUCCGGCCCUUUUUGGGUAGAUUAUUUAUUGGCAAAAUAAAACAGGGCCUGUAAUGGCCCUAUGAAAUGGUAGCUUUUCUUGAAACAAGAAACACAAGAGCAGACAGAAGACAGGUCGCGCCCACGCCGUAAAAUAGGAAAGAGACGGCAGGCGAAACAAUGUGCGGGUUGCUCACGAGACCCAUGCCGCUUAGAACCGUAAACAGCAUUCCUAUGGCAUAAAAAGACGAUACGGGGAGAUUUGAGGUGAAAUAGUGUUUUAGGGUGGUGGGCAUCAAGAACUCCUUUGCCUUGCUUGUUUUUGGGGUCUGUCGGAAAUGCUACUAUAUUUAUUUUUAUUUGUCAAUAGAACCUAAAAAGGGCCGGAUUGAGCGUACCAGUAGAAUAAGGAGCUACAAACUACGUGCCAGCAGUCGCGGUAAUACGUAGGCUCCAAGCAUUAUCCGGAAUUAUUGGGCGUAAAGGGUCUCCAGGUGGUUUUGUUAGUCCGGAGUUAAAUUUCACUGCUUAACGGUGAAGCUGCUUUGGAUACGGCAAAACUCGAGGCAGGAAGAGGUAACGAGAACUCACGGUGUAGGGGUGAAAUCCGUUGAUAUCGUGGGGAAUACCAAAGGCGAAGGCAAGUUACUGGUCCUGUCCUGACACUCAUGAGACGAAAGCGUGGGGAGCGAAUAGGAUUGACGUUCGUGCUAUAGCGCAAAUUUUUUCACUCAGGUUUUGGAAAAAUGUUCCGUGCGUGCUGCGUACUGUGGUUAAGGAAAAUUUUAACUCGACCCGAUCAGAAUCGGGGACUCGAAUAGAAAAUUUUCUUUACAGUACUUGCACACACGUCCAUUUUUCAUCCAAAACCCUCGAAUGAAAAAAUUUGCACUAUAGUACUCACUAGAGGGUUUAAAGAAAAGAAAUCCUCGUGAACCGUAUAGGGUACGGUGAACACUAGUCCUCUCCUGAGCGUUUCGGUGAAAACCGAAACUGCCGAAGGAGAAAAACUUGGCUAUAUCGGGGAAACUCCGACUCACAAGUAAAGGAUAUAUCCUGAGCUUGUCGAAGGACAAUCCCGAGGGAAGUUAUGUUGAAAUUAAUUAAAUCUUAAUCAAAUUACUAUGGAAACAGAAAGAGCACCGUCCGGAGAAGCGCUCUGAGUAAACAUAACCCCGUAGAGACUACACGCCGAGACCGCUAUCAAGCGGUAAGAUAUAGUCCGAACUGCAUAGUAAUAUGUAGAGCACAGCAGAAAUGCCUGUGCCGGCAACUAUUAGCUAUACGCCAUAAGCUAUAAGCUAAUUUGUUAUCCGCAACAAAAUUGUAGAUACCCUAGUAGUCCACGCCCUAAACGUUGCACACUCGUCAUUGGAAGUAUCGACCCUUUCAGUGGCCAAGCUAACGCAUUAAGUGUGCCGCCUGGGAAGUACGGUCGCAAGACUAAAACUCAAAGGAAUAGACGGGAGUUCGCACAAGCGGUGGUGCAUGUGGUUCAAUUCGACGACAACCGAGGAACCUCACCAGGGUUUGAAAUGCUGGACAAAGUCGGGGGAAACCCCGAUGUACCCACAAGGAUGCCAGCACAGGUGCUGCACGGUCCUCGUCAGUUCGUGGUGUGAAUUGUUCUCUUAAGUGAGGUAACGAACGCAACCCUCAUCCUAUGUUAUAAGUGUCAUGGGAAACUGCCUCCGUUUAGGGGGAGGAAGGUGGGGAUGACGCGAGAUCAGCGUGGCCCUCUGAUACCCUGGGCUACACACGUGCAACAAUGGCGCCGACAAUGUGUCGCGAAACCGCAAGGUGGAGCCAAUCACACCAAACGGCGCCCCAGUUCAGAUUGGGGUCUGCAACUCGACCCCAUGAAGAAGGAAUCGCUAGUAAACGCGGAUCAGCUACGCCGCGUUGAAUACGUUCUCGAACUUUGUACUCACCGCCCGUCACGUCAAGAGAGCCGGGAGUAGCCGAAAUCUGCUUUAUGCGGCCUAAGCUAAGCUCGGUGAUAGGGACGAAGUCGUAACAAGGCAUGGCUAGCGGAAGCUGGUCAUGGAUCAUUUCUUUU
rfam:Candidatus Sungbacteria bacterium RIFCSPHIGHO2_02_FTLL_51_29 rifcsphigho2_02_scaffold_33313, whole genome shotgun sequence.